CAAAAACAGUGUGUCCUAGAUGGGAUGUGCCUUCAGCCUGGAUCCCGAAAUGAAGACCCAUGGAAAAGAGCCUCAACCAUGGCUGCAACCACAGGUAACCUACAGCAAUAGAAAGAAAGCUUCAGCCCUCCACAAAGGACAUGCAAUGAGGUAAAGGAUGAUGAGAAGUUGGACCAGAAUUAAAAAUAUGGUAUUAGAAAAAGUUUACAGAGGCCAUUUUUUCCAAAGUAUGUCAUUAAAAUUCAAUGCUAUGAACACUU